CAAAAUGUAGCUUAAUCUUUAAAGCCCCUCGCUUACACCGAGGUAAUAUCCGUGAAACUCUGAUCAUUUUGAG
rnacentral:tRNA from 1 species